GUUACCCAGGUCCUGCUUCAAUUGGUGGCAAGCGGCAGGAUCCCAUGUCCCUGCCAACAGACCCAUGGACUACAGUGCUCUAAAGUGACCUACACUGCAGGACUUGUGUGGAGCCAGAGGAAUAAUGCCUGGUGGGCGUAACAAGGCCGAAUUGACUGCUGCGCUCAUGGAGGACGACCAGGCAUGCAGUGAGGCAAUGAACCCCAGCCAGGGGCCGGAGAUGAGGAGGAAGUGCGCAAGG